rnacentral:rRNA from 1 species
UUGAAGAGUUUGAUCAUGGCUCAGAUUGAACGCUGGCGGCAGGCCUAACACAUGCAAGUCGAGCGGUAGCACAGAGAGCUUGCUCUCGGGUGACGAGCGGCGGACGGGUGAGUAAUGUCUGGGAAACUGCCUGAUGGAGGGGGAUAACUACUGGAAACGGUAGCUAAUACCGCAUAACGUCGCAAGACCAAAGUGGGGGACCUUCGGGCCUCAUGCCAUCAGAUGUGCCCAGAUGGGAUUAGCUAGUAGGUGGGGUAACGGCUUACCUAGGCGACGAUCCCUAGCUGGUCUGAGAGGAUGACCAGCCACACUGGAACUGAGACACGGUCCAGACUCCUACGGGAGGCAGCAGUGGGGAAUAUUGCACAAUGGGCGCAAGCCUGAUGCAGCCAUGCCGCGUGUGUGAAGAAGGCCUUCGGGUUGUAAAGCACUUUCAGCGGGGAGGAAGGCGGUGAGGUUAAUAACCUCACCGAUUGACGUUACCCGCAGAAGAAGCACCGGCUAACUCCGUGCCAGCAGCCGCGGUAAUACGGAGGGUGCAAGCGUUAAUCGGAAUUACUGGGCGUAAAGCGCACGCAGGCGGUCUGUCAAGUCGGAUGUGAAAUCCCCGGGCUCAACCUGGGAACUGCAUUCGAAACUGGCAGGCUAGAGUCUUGUAGAGGGGGGUAGAAUUCCAGGUGUAGCGGUGAAAUGCGUAGAGAUCUGGAGGAAUACCGGUGGCGAAGGCGGCCCCCUGGACAAAGACUGACGCUCAGGUGCGAAAGCGUGGGGAGCAAACAGGAUUAGAUACCCUGGUAGUCCACGCUGUAAACGAUGUCGAUUUGGAGGUUGUGCCCUUGAGGCGUGGCUUCCGGAGCUAACGCGUUAAAUCGACCGCCUGGGGAGUACGGCCGCAAGGUUAAAACUCAAAUGAAUUGACGGGGGCCCGCACAAGCGGUGGAGCAUGUGGUUUAAUUCGAUGCAACGCGAAGAACCUUACCUGGUCUUGACAUCCACAGAACUUWSCAGAGAUGSWUUGGUGCCUUCGGGAACUGUGAGACAGGUGCUGCAUGGCUGUCGUCAGCUCGUGUUGUGAAAUGUUGGGUUAAGUCCCGCAACGAGCGCAACCCUUAUCCUUUGUUGCCAGCGGUYMGGCCGGGAACUCAAAGGAGACUGCCAGUGAUAAACUGGAGGAAGGUGGGGAUGACGUCAAG